rnacentral:antisense_RNA from 1 species
CCCAUACCAGGUGGACCCAUACCAGGUGGACCCAUACCAGGUGGACCCAUACCAGGUGGACCCAUACCAGGCGGGCUCAUGCCUGAUUGACCCAUCCACUCAUUGUUUGCAGCUGCCUCUUUCAUUAGUUCAGCUUGUCUGGCAUCCAUUGCCGCUUUUGAUUCGAGAUAAUGAACUACAAGCACUCCGAACGCGCAAAUAAUGAAGCAUACAGUUGAAAGAAUUCCCAGAUAUGCCCCAUAUCCAAGUGAUGGAUAUGGAUAUUGUUGUGUGCCAAUUAUGCCUUUAAUAGCUUGGCUUGUUGUGUAACACCAAUAGGCAAUACCAGAUGAAGACAGUAUUGAAGAAGUACUCCAAGCAAAUAAUAAAAAAUUACGACUUUUUCCAAAUACAAAUAACCAAACAACUCCUACUAUUCCUACUAUUAUAGAAAUAACCAACGCUCCCAAACAAAGAUAUCCACCAUUUGCAAAUUUCACAUAUGACGUACACCUAGUCCUUAAUGCAGUUUGGCAAUCUGUAGAGCAUGUGCUUCCCCAUAAACUCUGUUCAACUUGUGAUAUCGAUACAUAUGAAUCAAUCCAACUACACACAAAUUGUUCUACAGUUGACCAUGGUCUUGUAGAAGCGCCAUUAUUAAAUUUGUAAAUAUACAAACCAUAUUCCGAUGAUUGAAGUUGCCAAGACUUCAAUGUGCUUUUUUGGUAAUAUUGGUACGUGAUCGCUGGCGCAACUCUCCAUCCAUUUAAAAUUAUUGAUAUUAUCUGAAGAACGAUUGCAGUAAAGCCAACUGCUGCAAGCAGCUUCCACCCUAUUCCCAAACCUGUAUCACCUCCUUGAUUUCUAGAAGAUGCAUUAUGGGACAUUUAUUCUCGAGAGAUUAUCUAUUUUUUUAAGCGAAAUAGAGAGCAGCAAAUUUUGUAUUCAUUAAUUUUUUUUUUUUUAGAAUUGUAUUAUAUGAGCUAGCCUUAGUCACGUCGCAGUGUCUUUUAUGCAUGC